UGGAAUCCCGUGCGAAUCUGUCCCGACCGUGGGAUAAGCCUAAAUAUUCCUGUCUGACCGAUAGCGAACGAGUACCGUGAGGGAAUGGUGAAAAGUACCCCGGGAGGGGAGUGAAAUAGUACCUGAAACCGUGUGCUUACAAGCCGUUGGAGCCUUUUGGGGUGACAGCGUGCCUUUUGAAGAAUGAGCCUGCGAGUUAGUGUUAUGUCGCGAGGUUAACCCGUGUGGGGUAUCCGUAGCGAAAGCGAGUCUGAAUAGGGCGUUUGAGUGGCAUGACCUAGACCCGAAGCGGAGUGAUCUAUCCAUGGCCAGGUUGAAGCGACGGUAAGACGUCGUGGAGGACCGAACCCACUUCAGUUGAAAAUGGAGGGGAUGAGCUGUGGAUAGGGGUGAAAGGCCAAUCAAACUCUGUGAUAGCUGGUUCUCCCCGAAAUGCAUUUAGGUGCAGCGUUACGUGUUUCUUGCCGGAGGUAGAGCUACUGGAUGGCCGAUGGGCCUUCACGGGUUACUGACGUCAGCUAAACUCCGAAUGCCGGUAAGUGAGAGCGUAGCAGUGAGACAGUGGGGGAUAAGCUUCAUUGUCGAGAGGGAAACAGCCCAGACCACCAACUAAGGCCCCUAAGCGUGUGCUAAGUGGGAAAGGAUGUGGAGUUGCUUAGACAACCAGGAGGUUGGCUUAGAAGCAGCCAUCCUUGAAAGAGUGCGUAACAGCUCACUGGUCAAGUGAUUCUGCGCCGAUAAUGUAGCGGGGCUCAAGUACACCGCCGAAGUUGUGGCAAUGAUCUUUUUGGAUUGUUGGGUAGGGGAGCGUCGUGUAGCCGGUGAAGCUGCGGUGUAAACCAGUGGUGGAGGCUAUGCGAGUGAGAAUGCAGGCAUGAGUAGCGAAAGAUGAGUGAGAAACUCAUCCGCCGGAUGAUCAAGGGUUCCAGGGUCAAGUUAAUCUGCCCUGGGUUAGUCGGGUCCUAAGGCGAGGCCGACAGGCGUAGUCGAUGGAUAACGGGUUGAUAUUCCCGUACCGGUGAAAAACCGCCCAUACUGAUAUUGUGAUGCUAACCAUGCGAAGCAUGAUGUGCAGGCUUUUGUUUGUGUGUUGUGUGGGUUGUGGGACCCGAUCUUUGGAGGUAAACGUAUUAACAGGUGUGACGCAGGAAGGUAGCCAAGCCACGCGAUGGUUGUCGUGGUCUAAGCGUGUAGGGUUGUCGGUUGUUAAAUGCGCCGGCUGUGUGCCUGAGACGUGAUGGGACCCCGUUUUUGGGGGAUUUGGUGAUCCUAUGCUGCCGAGAAAAGCAUCGGCGUGAGGUUUUAGCCGCCCGUACCCUAAACCGACACAGGUGAUCAGGUAGAGAAUACUAAGGCGAUCGAGAGAAUCAUGGUUAAGGAACUCGGCAAAAUGCCCCCGUAACUUCGGGAGAAGGGGGACCUUGAGCGUGAUGGGCACUUGCUGCCUGGAGCGUGUAUGGGUCGCAGAGACCAGGGGGAAGCGACUGUUUAUCAAAAACACAGGUCCGUGCGAAGUCGUAAGACGAUGUAUACGGACUGACUCCUGCCCGGUGCUGGAAGGUUAAGAGGAUUGGUUAGCUCUUUUGAGCGAAGCUGAGAAUUUAAGCCCCAGUAAACGGCGGUGGUAACUAUAACCAUCCUAAGGUAGCGAAAUUCCUUGUCGGGUAAGUUCCGACCUGCACGAAUGGAGUAACGACUUCCCUACUGUCUCAACCAUGAACUCGGCGAAAUUGCAGUACGAGUAAAGAUGCUCGUUUCGCGCAGCAGGACGGAAAGACCCCGUGACCUUUACUAUAGUUUGGUAUUGGUGUUUGGUUUGGCUUGUGUAGGAU
rnacentral:rRNA from 1 species